GCGCACUGCUCAGUAACACGUGGACAACCUGCCCUGAGGACUGGAAUAAUCCCGGGAAACUGGGGGUAAUUCCAGAUAUGUCAGAACUCCUGGAAUGGGUUCUGGCAGAAAGGCUCCGGCGCCUCAGGAUGGGUCUGCGGCCUAUCAGGGUAGUAGUGGGUGUAACGUACCUACUAGCCUACGACGGGUACGGGUUGUGAGAGCAAGAGCCCGGAGAUGGAUUCUGAGACAUGAAUCCAGGCCCUACGGGGUGCAGCAGGCGCGAAAACUUUACAAUGCGGGCAACCGCGAUAAGGGGACCUCGAGUGCUGGGUUACAAACCUGGCUGUUGGGCUGCCUAAAAAGCAGUCUAUAACAAGGGCCGGGCAAGACCGGUGCCAGCCGCCGCGGUAACACCGGCGGCUCGAGUGGUAACCGCUAUUAUUGGGUCUAAAGGGUCUGUAGCCGGCCGACUAAGUCUCUUGGGAAAUCUGGCAUCUCAAGUGUCAGGCUGCCAGGGGAUACUGGUCGGCUUGGGACCGGGAGAGGUGAGAGGUACCUCGGGGGUAGGGGUGAAAUCUUGUAAUCCUCGAGGGACCACCAGUGGCGAAGGCGUCUCAC
rnacentral:rRNA from 1 species